UGUUUCUUUCCCUCUCUUUCUCCCUCCCUUCCCCUCUCUAAAUUUCAAAAAUAAAGUAAAUCAGACAGAGGGGCUUUUUGGCAUUCAUACUCCUGUGUGGCCACUAUUCAUUGUAUAUGGCUGUUACAUAAAAAUAGCAAAACAUUGCACUCUUUUUAAUCUCUAAAAUCAAGAAUUAUUAGGGUGAUGCAAAGAGCUGUACAGCUCUUUUCUAACUACUUGUGUUUGAUUAGGAGAAAUGUUUUCUGUAUUCCAAGACUUAGCUUCCAUUGAGAUUCAUUUUUGCACUACUUUUAUUGGUAGGUUUAGACACAUCACUCUUGUGUGAUGAAGUGAAAUUUUUUUUGAGAUCUCCAAGAUUUUUUUAAUGGCAUUUUUUGGAAAAAGACGAUUUACAUAGCUGGUAUAAUUUAUAAAGUGACAAGGCCCCAGAUCAUAUAGGCAGGACUCUGAAAAAAUUCAAAUGUUAUAAAUGAGAACUUAAAUUUUUUUAAAUUAUGGUAAAUGUUGCAUACUUAUGCAAAUAUUCUUGUUUCAUUGACGAAACAAGCAAAAUAUUUCAGAAUUUGGAGUCAGAAAGGUACAUAGCAGACAACCAGACUCUCAGUUCUUUUAAAACAGUAGAAAAUCAACCCCACUUUUAAAAUCAUACAAAACCAGUAGAAAUAAUGUUUAAUGAGAGGAAAUGGAGCCUGCUCUGCAACAGUACUAAAGCAUCUUACUGGAUGUGGUAUAAAUGUCAUUGAUCGAAGCAAACCCAGUCAUAUUACAGGUAAGAGGAGCUGCAGACCAGAUAGGUUAAGUAACUAGUUAGUACCUGUCCUGAGGUUGCAAAUACCAAUUUGAUUGUUUUAGUUCCAGAUUGAAUGUUACAAUACUACAGACUUCUAGGAGGUCAUCUCUCUUAAACUUAUAAUAUCCUUGUGAUAUUUUUUUAAAAGUCUUUUUUGUACAGUUAGCAUGUAUUCCUGUUAUUCAUGCUUCAUUUUAUAUUAAUACAUGUCUAUUUUAAUGCAAAAUAACGCUAAAUACAAAUUUCUGUACUUCAGAGAUUUAAUUAAUGCUUGAAUUAAAUAUUAUCCCAAGUUUUGAAAUUCUUUAAGAAAAAAGUCCUUAACUUCCAGUAAUCCCCACCAUCAUUAAUUAUAUGGCUCAAUUUUCAUUUCAGUGAACUUUAGAACUAAAAUCUUUAUAAUUAGUUUUAGCUGAUGAAUUUCUUUGUAUUACCUAGACAGUCUGUUAAUUUGACUGCCUAGGAUUUUUCCUCAGGCAUUGAAAUUUAGAGGGUGAAAAUUUUUAAUUGAUUAAAAGUAAUUUUGUGUGCAUGCGCAUGCCUGCACAUGUUCGAGGGUGGGGUGCUAUGCAGAUUAUUAAUGUCCUUCAACUCUCCAGCCAGCCAGCCAAAAGCUGCUGGCCCAAUGUUAACCUCCUUAUCAUUCCAGAAGGAUAGAUACUUGGAUGUGAAAACUCAAGGGCAUGCUCAUGCCUGCUGUCCUUUCAUAUUCCUUUCCAUCCUCCUCCUCUUCCCUUGGCCAGGAAUUUGUUUUCUUUGAAGGUGUCUGUUUUGCAACUUGGGCAUUAAUUUAUCAGUGAACGUGUUUUAUUAUAAUGUCAAAAAAUAAGGGUUUCUUUUUUACUUAGUAAUUCCACUUUAAUCUUUGCGAAGUAUUUAAGAAAAAGGGCAGGAAAAGCCAUAUUCACAGAAAUGAAGAAUCUAGUAUGCCAAUUUGCAUUAUUGCAUGAUCAUUCAUAAAGUUGAUAUACUCAAAAUAAUUCACAAUUCUUUCAUUAUUUGGCAUUCAAGUUGCUUUUAUGAGUAAAGAUUGUGGUAUCAUAGCUGACCUUUAUGGUAUAGUAAUAAGGCAGUACCCAACUUGGGAAUCAUAAUUGCAAGUUAUAUAAUAAAACUAGCCUCUUAUUUUCGUAUACUUUCUUUGGUUUUUAUCCCAUGUGUAGAUUUCCAUAAUACCUCACAAUAUUGAACAUUCCCUUACACCAGAAAACUCCCUCUAAUUUCCUAUAAUAGUCACACCUUUCUUUCACCCCUAAUGUGUAGCAACCACUGAUCUGUCCUGUCACUGUAGUUUUGUUUUCUCAAGAAUGUUACGUAAAUGGAAUGUUUGUAACCCUUUGAGACUAAUUUCUUCA